ensembl:snoRNA
GCAUGGAUUUUAAUUUAUGGUAGGCCUGUCCUUCUGGGCCUCUCAUAGUGUCCCAUGCCAGAGUAAACCAUGGCCCAAACCAUUGCCUGGCCUCUGUGUCCAUAGGAAAAUAAAAUAAAUUAAAUGGUG